rnacentral:rRNA from 1 species
UACGUAGGGUGCGAGCGUUUGUCCGGAAUUAUUGGGCGUAAAGGGCUCGUAGGCGGUUUGUCGCGUCGGGAGUGAAAUCCACUGGCUUAACUGGUGGCUUGCUUCGAUACGGCAGGACUGGAGGUAUGCAGGGGGAGAACGGAAUUCCUGGUGUAGCGGUGAAAUGCGCAGAUAUCAGGAGGAACACCGGUGGCGAAGGCGGUUCUCUGGGCAUGUCCUGACGCUGAGGAGCGAAAGUGUGGGGAGCGAACAGG